AUUGAACGCUGGCGGCAUGCUUUACACAUGCAAGUCGAACGGUAGCAGGGUGCUUGCACCGCUGACGAGUGGCGAACGGGUGAGUAAUGCGUCGGAACGUACCGAGUAGUGGGGGAUAACGCAGCGAAAGUUGUGCUAAUACCGCAUACGUACUGAGGUAGAAAGUGGGGGACCUUCGGGCCUCACGCUAUUCGAGCGGCCGACGUCUGAUUAGCUAGUAGGUGAGGGAAAGGCUCACCUAGGCGACGAUCAGUAGCGGGUCUGAGAGGAUGAUCCGCCACACGGGGACUGAGACACGGCCCAGACUCCUACGGGAGGCAGCAGUGGGGAAUUUUGGACAAUGGGCGAAAGCCUGAUCCAGCCAUGCCGCGUGUCUGAAGAAGGCCUUCGGGUUGUAAAGGACUUUUGUCGGGGAGGAAAUCCCCAGCGUUAAUACCGCUGGGGGAUGACAGUACCUGAAGAAUAAGCACCGGCUAACUACGUGCCAGCAGCCGCGGUAACAC
rnacentral:rRNA from 1 species